rnacentral:misc_RNA from 1 species
CGCACAUUGCGCCCAUUAGUAUUCUAGUGGGCAUGCCUGUUCGAGCGUCAUUUCAACCCUCAAGCUCUCUUGCUUGGUGUUGGGGCUUCUGCGGCUUCGGCCGCAGGCCCUGAAAAACAGUGGCGGGCUCGCUAUAACUCCGAGCGUAGUAAUCUCUCUCGCUUUGGAAGUGUGGCGGUUCCCGGCCGUUAAACCCCCCAUUUUCUGAAUGUUGACCUCGGAUCAGGUAGGAAUACCCGCUGAACUUAA